GGGAGCGCUGGCGGGAGGAGGUGAGUGCGGGGUCGGCGGCAGCUGCGCGGGGCUGCCCCGGAGAGGGCCCGCCAGGACCCCGGAAAAUGAUUAAGGGGAGCCUUUAGACGUAAGGGGGAUCCCCGCAGACCCAGAGAAGGAGCCUCGCGGACGAGAGAGGGAACCCCAAAGAUGGAGGGGGCUCAGGGAGACGCGCGCAGUGCAAGCUGAACCCACUGAGCCUCAGGCGGAAUCGCAAAGCCUGGGGCGCCAGAGGGGCGCCGUCCUGGCGGGAGGGAUGCGGGCUGGGACUCCCUGGAGCGGCGACAGGAAGGCGACAGCCGUGGGGACGCACUGGCCCGAGGUGAAGUGAGGGAAAGGUCGGCACAAGCUGUCCCCGGCUCCGGCCUUAGGAGCUGGAGAGUGGAAAGUCCCGACCUCCCAGCCGAGGGCGCCCUCCCGCCCGCCAUCCCCGACCAGUCCCCUCCUCCAGGACUCCUGCUGCGUGCCCGGACAGCUCUAGGCUCUGGAGCUUGCAGAGUACCCCACCUGAAAGACGAAGAUUCUGAUAAACUUCGGGGCUUUACUGUCCAGGUUGCCCUGAACUCGCAGUGAACCUCCUGCCUCAGCCUCCCAGGUGCUGGGAUUACAGCUUUAUGUAAUUUUACGAAGAAUGUUACCCUUGUUCUUUGCAGUGAGCUGUCUCCAGUCCCCCGCAACCCCCCCCCCCAACAUCUUUUACAUUUUGAGACAGCCUCAGUCCCUGAAUUGCUCAGACAGGGCUUGGACUUGCCAUCUUCCUGCCUCAGCCUCCCAGAGUGCCAACAUUACAGGCGUGGGACACCGUGCCCGGCUUGAUUUUGUGAAUGUUUCCAAACUUCUGCCUUGAACCUUCCUCUCAGCAGUUUCAGUUCCUUUUUUUCCCUCUCCCCCUCACUAGGUAUUGGGGAUGGACCCCAAGAAGACCACCACUGAGCUAUACAUCCCAAGCCUUGUUUUGUUUAUCUUGUUUCAGUGCUGAGGAUUGAAUCCAGGACCUUUGCACUGAGCUACAUCUCAACCCUUUUAUUGUUAUUACUCCGAGACAGGGUUUCUUUAAGUCACUUAGUGACACCAGCUGGGUUUGAACUUGUCACUGUCCUGUCCCAGGGCACAAGAGUGAUGGGAUUACAGGUGGGUGUGUCUUCACAAUCAGCUCCUUUAUUUAUUUAUUUAUUUUUAUUUAUUUAUUUUUGUGCCUGGAAUCGAACUCAUCACCUCACACCUGCCGGGCAGAUGCUAUGUCACUGAGCUCUAUCCCUGGCCCUUGGCUCACUUUUUAAAAGUAGGAAGCAGGCGGGGAAUGUAGGUUUGUGGUCAGAGUGCUGGUGUGAUCCACAAGGUCCUGGGUUUUAUCCCCAACAUCUCAGAUUUUAUAAGUAACAGAAAAUUACCUGACAGCUCCUCCUUCCUGAAUACACUGAUAAAAUCGGACACUAGUGGAAUCCUCGUAUUAAUGCCUGUUUAUGACCCACCAAGGGCAGUCCUAAACUACCAGUGGCUCCUAACCCAAGUAAAAACUAGAUUUUAUCCACUAGCAAAAGAUUGCCAGGAAUGGAAGAGGUCACUUUAAAACUUCCUGCUACCCAGGUGUUGGUAGUUCACAUCUGUAAUCUCAGCACGAGAGCCUGAGGCAGGAGGAUCCCCGGUUGGAGCCCAGUCUGGGUGAUUUCAUGACACCUUCUCUCAAAAUGAUUUUUUGUUGAGCCAGGAAUUUAGCUCAGUGGCACAGCCCCUGCCUGGCAAGUGCAGGGUCUUGAGUUUGAUUCCUGACAAAAAAAAUUUUUUUUUGUCUUUUUGCAAUAGGUUCUCACUGUGCAGUUCGGGCUGGCCUUGAGCUCACUUUACAAAGAACUAAAAGCAACCCUCCGGCCUCAGCCUCCUGAGGGCUAGGGUUACAAUCACGCGCCACCACCCCUGGCCUGUAAUCCCAGCACUGCCCUCGGGAGGCUGAGGCAGGCGAAUCAUUGCAUAUUUGAGACCAGCCUGGGCUACUAAGUGAGUGCAUGGCCAGUCUGAACUGCAUAGUGUCUCAAAAAUAUAAAAACUGCCUCAAAAAGAUUUUUCAUAUAUAUAUAUGUAUAAGGCCAAGGAUUUAGCUCAGCGGCAUAAGUGCCUGCCUGGCCAGCAUGAGGUUGUGAGUUUGAUCCCCAGUAUCAAAAAAAUAAAAAUAAGCAAAAAAAAUACAAUAGUAACAGUGGUAACGGGGAUCAUGAAAGCAUUUUAGUGCACUAACAAAAAGGAACAUGCGGGGGAAAUGAAGCGUUCCCAUCUUUUUUCCCUUGCCCUACGAGAAUGACCGGGUUUGUCAAAGUUUACAGCUUUGAUAGGUUUUCUUACAGUAGUAUGCUGCCUGACAGCAGCUAGCUGUGUAUCCCCACGGAGCCUCGAAAGAUUGCCCUGAAUUGAGAAUUUCUUCAUGUGUAAAAUACCCUACUAGAUUAAAAAAAAAUUUAGUAUGAGAAAACAAAUGUAAAAUAUCAAGUUAAGCUGGGUGUGGUGGCACACAUUGUAAUCUCAGCCCUCAGAGGCUGAUGCAGGAGGAGCCCUGAGGGCAAAGUCAGAGUGAGCUCCAGGCCAGUCAGGGUUACACUGGGAGACAUCUAAAAAAAAAAGACAAUCUAGUUAUUCAUUUGCAUAUCAUUACAUGCUGAAAUAACUUACGUAUUGUGCUAAAUAAAAUAGCCUCAUUUUA